rnacentral:misc_RNA from 1 species
GAUGAAGAACGUAGCGAAAUGCGAUAAGUAAUGUGAAUUGCAGAAUUCAGUGAAUCAUCGAGUCUUUGAACGCACAUUGCGCCCCCUGGUAUUCCGGGGGGCAUGCCUGUCCGAGCGUCAUUGCUGCCCUCAAGCCCGGCUUGUGUGUUGGGCCCCGUCCCCCGAUCUCCGGGGGACGGGCCCGAAAGGCAGCGGCGGCACCGCGUCCGGUCCUCGAGCGUAUGGGGCUUUGUCACCCGCUCUGUAGGCCCGGCCGGCGCUUGCCGAUCAACCCAAAUUUUUAUCCAGGUUGACCUCGGAUCAGGUAGGGAUACCCGCUGAACUUAAGCAUAUCAAUAAGCGGAGGA